GGCCCUAUGGUGUAAUGGUUAGCAAUCUGGACUCUGAAUCCAGCGAUCCGAGUUCAAAUCUCGGUAGGACCU
rnacentral:tRNA from 1 species